CAUCUUUUGGAGCUCCUCCUCCUCCACUGCUCCCUCCACUUCCUCCUCUCCUACGUACGCCUCGUCCCUGUAUCGCCUUUCCCUCUCUCUCCGCCGCCUCCUCUACCUCUCCGGCCUCCUCUACCAACGCCGCCAAGUCCUACUCUCGCUCGCUCUCUCUGCUUAAAAGAAAUUAUCUCUUUUCGUCUUGUUUUCAGGUUGCCAGUGCCUGUGAUCAGAAAUCGGACGUGGGGAGGCCAUGGAAAGACCCCGAUGGUGGAAUUCAUCGUGCGUUUCUUGGAUGAAACCGGAAUUCGACCUCUAAUUCUUACCAGAGCGAGUUAGAUUGUGAAUAUUGUCGUUUUCUUGAAAAUCACUCUUUUCUUGGAAGGACAUUUGCUAUGAGGAAUAUUAGGAAGAAGAUAGGUGGAAAAAGAACCUAUUUUUUAAGAAAUUGAGAGGGUAGUUUUUCUUACAUCUCUCCCCCCCGCCUGGAUUUGGAUGGAAUCAUCGACAACUAAGAGAAGGGAGGUUGUGUAGGGGAGAAAACAUUGGAAAGAAAGAAGGAAAACAAAGAAAAGACCGUAUGUUUGGUUUUACUCGUCAACGUCAGGUUUUGACUGAAAUUUUAGAGAAAAAAAGAAAGCUUUCAUUUGCACCUUUUUAUUUUUGAUAGUUUCUUUGAAUUCUCUCUUCUUUUUACACUGUAAUUGUGUUGUUAAUGUCCACUAUUUAUGCUAUUGUGCACUGCUUUAAAUCUUGCUGUGAUUAUUGGGAACAUAUCUGUAGAACAAACAAGAAAUAACAAUCUGUUGGUUUGUUGUUCAGAUUUUCUAUUCCUUUUUCUUGACAACUUUUUUUCCCUUGUCGGAUGUAAAGAUGGGGAGCAAGCAAAAAGAUAGUUAUCUUUUUUUGUUAAAGAGUUGAAACCCACGAAUACAUGAGAAAAAAUUUGGAAGAUCUUAAAUUCUGGAAUACUGUUGAUGAUGAUAAAUGACUAUCUUGACAUAAUUGAUGCAUGAUAAUUUUAACCAUAACCAGCAAAGCUUGUUCAAAGUAUCCGGUCCUGAUGUUAUUGCAAGAUUUUCCAUCUUCUUUUUCAAUACUUCCAUCCAUGUAUCAGGUGUUUCCCUCCCCUUCCUUAAUCCCUGGACGAAGACCCAAGUACUUCACCUUGCGGUAACCUUCUUAGAUCUUCAUCAUAUAUGAUCAGAACACCUCAUUUACAGGCUUAUUCGGAGUAUGAUGAGGCCAAAAUGCUUCAUAUGCACCUUUUGUAGACCUCUACAAGGACUGGUGCAGGUGCAAACAGGAUUGCUACUGCUUCUUCUCUGUUUGUCGCAUUGUUCAAGAAACUUCCAUCACCUUGCAAAUUUGGAACUGGUCCCAAAGAUGAAAAGUUGGUGCUGUAAUUCUGGAUGAUGGAAUGCAGGCAUCAAACAUUGCAUCUAGUCACUGAAUUGUGCUUUUCGAAUCUAUAUGCAUAUCUGCGCCCAUUUUGCACCACAAAUGUCCAUAUAUGUACAUUGUCAUAAGGCUCUAAUUUAUUCUUAAAUGAGUUAAGAUUGUUAUUUAACUGGAAAUAGAAAUCUGAGAUUGCAAAUAUGUUAUCUUGAAGUUUUGAUUGAGUAAUAUAUCACUACGUCUUGACAUCUUGUUUAUAGUUUUCUUUAUGAUUUUCAUUGUACCUUGGUCAUGUUUGUUUGUUUGUAUGUGUAAUUGCAGGAAUUGUAGACUAUAUCCAUCAAUUUUAUUAUUUUAUGCACAUUUAUGCAAUUGUUUGUAUAUAGCCGUGCAAAUUCCAUGAAAGUAAUUCUUUGCUUGUCUAAUUUUUGCAUACAAGCAUGUUAUACAAUGCAGUAUCUUUAUUUCUGCAUGAUUUAUUAAACCUUCAUAACUGUAAUGGCAAGCACUAUCCCAUUACUUUGGGCUCUACCUUCAUUUGUUCAUAUCUGAGUCCAUAUAAUGGCGUGUCUUUUUUUCAAGUCAAAAGCUACAACCUUCAUCAAAGGCUUACAUGUUUUCCCUUUCCUCUUCUGUUAACCAGGAACCGAAACCUAAGAGUCAUCCUUAACAGGGCUGUUUCUGCUUUUUGUUGCAAAUGAUGGAAACAUCUUAACCAAUAACCCCAAUUUAUUUGUCCUUCAAUUACCAUCUGCAUUGUUGAUGUGCUGAUUUCUAUUCUGAUCCUUUAUUCAGAGAUGUCUGACAAGUUCUCUUCAAGAUCCUCAACCUUUCUGCCAAUGCCAUUAUUUGCUUCCGACUUGUAUCACCACCACUGGAACCACCAAUUCCUACAACUCCAACAGCAAAGACAACCAACAUCUUCGUUCCUCUUUGAUAUGAAGUUGCAAGCAUGUUAGGUUUUCUCUCCCCUCUCUGUCUUUCCCACCUUUAGCUUCUCUGGCGAGUUUUGUCGAAGGAGUUGUACAGCAUCAGAAUUCCAUCACAAGGAAAAAAUACGAAAGGAAGAUUGGCUUUCUCUAUGGAGGAUAAUUUGAUUGGUUUAAAACUUUGCUAGCCUUUUACAAGCAGUCAAACCAUAAAUGCUCGUAAGUGGUACUUUCAGACGUGGAAUCUGAUGCGUAUUAUUUGCAACCCUAAUUUUUUCGGCCAAGGCUUACUAGUUGUGGUUAUAGUUAUAUGACAUUCAUUUUUUUUUGGAGAAAAUAAGUUUUUUAAGGACUUGGCCACAUUGAAUAACCCCUGCAAUCUUGAAAUACUCCUUUCUUAUGUUCUCUUUAUUUCAAUGGCCUGAUUGCAUUGUAAAUUGAUUUAGCAUCAGGUAAUCUAGUUAAUAUGCAAAGUUUUAUAAUGGGCAGUAGUUAUAAUUUGAUUAAUCUAAAAUUGUGAAAGCUACCUCUCUCUCUUGGAAAUCAAUUUGCUAAGUUAUCUUUCAUCAUUUCAUCUAGUUCACAAGAUUUCUCUCUGCGAUAGAGAGUGCUCUGUAAAUUACGGGUGGCCGCUUAAAGAAGUGCACAUUAUUGAUAUCCUGCUGUAAGUGUCCAUCAUAACAUCACAAGUUUGCCUUCCUUGCUAAGAAGGGUGUAGGAAGGAAUGUCUGGAAGGAAUUCCAGCAUGUCAAUAGCAAUAGUAAUGAAAAGGCUGAGACAAUCACCAUUGGAAGAUCAACUGCCAGCGGUGGUUUAGUUCUUUCAUUCAUAUAUAUACCGUAAAGGCAGUUAUAGCUAACAAAAAAAAAAAAAAAAAAAAAAAAUCCAGCUGGAACAGAAGGGUACACAGACAGGUUUCCACCCAAUAAGAUGAUACUAGUAGUCAUAUGGAACAAAAUCUGGUCUUAUUAUGUAUUUUAGGGCUACUGUAAAUAACACCAUCAUGCAUCAUGCAGGUAGUGCUAUUCCACUUCAUCCUUCUUUCUCUAUUCCUUUCACUCUCCCGAGCCCAUAUUGUUGUUUAGCUAUUAUACUCUGUUGAUGUUAGAUUUUACUCUCAUGAAUAAACAAUAACCUACUAUUUGAGUCAUAUAUGAGAUGAUUUUUUUACUUAGAUGUUAUUCUUGGUUUAUACUUGACCCUCUUUAGCCAUAUAAUUGACUUAGAUCAUGGUCCCUUUUUCAUUUGAAGAUUAUAUAAUUUUUUGUUGUUUUCUCGUACUUUGUUCUUCACUAUGCAGCAUUGAAGUUUUGUUGCAUGAUGUGGAAAUCAUUAUGAUAAAUGGUGUGAUGCCAUGGGGGAACAACCACUUGCCUCCAUCGACCAAAGAUUAAGGGGCGUUAGUCAUGAUGAUAUUUUGGCUAAAGAAGAUGCUACUCUAGAAUCCCUUUUAAAGUGGAGGAAAGGAUUAACAAUAGGUUGGUACAUAGCAGCAGCAUAUUAGAUGUUAGAUCUAGACUAGAAAAUAAACAUUGAUGUUAUUUUCUUGAGGUCUCUGUGUUAAUUAAAGCUCCACAACUUUUCAGGUAUUUGUGAUGGAUUAGGAAAAAUUAUAAUGUGAAAGUUUGUAAAUAGUUCUUUGGACUAUGUCUGAUCAUCACACAAGUUACAAAUGGUUUCAUAACGAGGAUAUAUAUUUGUGAGAUUCAUUAAAAAGCUUUUUAUCAAAGGGUCAAAAUAAGCUAGAAUUGAAUAGAUGAUUCAAAUAUAGAAUUAUUUAGUAGGACAGUUUUGUCAUGGCUUUUGAUGUUAGUUGAUGAGACUAAGGAGUAAUAUAAGCUGUAGAUAGUAAUAUUAAAAACGUUCUAUGUGAACAGAAUUUUAGAGCGAAAGGCAGUCAUUUAUGAGACUAAAGAGUAAUUUAAGCCGUAGAUAGUAAUAUUAAAAAUGUUCUAGAUGAACAGAAUUUCAGAGCGAAAGGUAGUCAUUUAGGGUUGCAUACAUAUUGUGACACAAAUAGUUAUAUUUUUAACUUAUCAUUUUAAUCAUUUUAGUCCAACUCCUACUCCUGAAGUUCAUUGGGGAUCAAGGACUAGAAUUGAACUUUAUAUUUAUAAAGUAUUACUUAUAUACAUUCACAUGCGAUGCUUUGAUAUUGUUUUUGUGACUGACUCGGAUUAGAUACCAAAUCAGGGGACUUAGGGUUUACAGAUGCACUCCAUUUUCUAAUCAGAUACACUUUAAAAAUGUCUCAUUUUCUCUUUCUCUCUUCAUGCUUUUUCGUGAAGAGGGAGAGAGGGAGGGAGCAUACGAAAUGAGUGUCCGUAUCAGGCCUUAUAUAAAAUGGGAAAAAAAAGAAAAGCUAAAGGUAAAAUUCACAAACGAGAAAAGAGAUGGGUGUUGCUCCUUGAUAGUCGUGAAGUAGGGUUCAUGUUGGAAUUUGAGUUCAUAUUAGUGUGCAUAUACUUUACGGAGCUGUCCUGGAAAUAGGGAAUUCACACUAUGUUAAGCAUAGAAUUGAUUUGUUUGCCUUAGCACAAACCCAAAUUACAUUAGCUUUCAUGGAGCCAUUAAAAUUCUUGACGUAAGCUCCCAAAAAAUGUCCAGCAAUUCUUUGACUCGCAAAAGGUUAAUUUUCUUUUUUAAAGUUUGUUCAAUUUAUCAAAAUGAGCUGCCUGACAAUGAAAAGUAGUAUAUCAAUGAUUAAAUGAUAUUAAUUCAGGUGUAUAAAUCUUCUACUAAAGCAUGACUGAUUUCAUCUUGUUGUUGGUUCUUUUAUUACUUCCUCCAAGUUUUUGCAAGAUUGGGACCUUUAUUCCUUGUUGAGUUUUUUCUUAAUUCACGUCUGUCUACUGGUAGUGAAUCAGAAAGAUAUCAUGCAGCUUAAGGUUGAUUGAUCUCUUAUCCAGAAAGUUAUUUGUUCCCUUCAUAUUCUUUUUUAUUUAUUCUUGUAGCAGUUUUAAUUUCCACAUUAUGCACAAAUGUCUUAGAAAGACAUGACUUGUGAUUCAUCCAUAAUAUUUUUCCAUUUUCCUUUGUAUAUAUUUAAACUACUUCUGACUCAUCUCUGGAUUCCCCAUUCUAGGUUUGCAGUUUUCCGCAUUAUCUAUUGAGGAGAAAACUUGUUUCGAGUUGUAACAAAACACUAUUUUCUGUUUCAUUGACUAUUUAAAGGUGCCUGCUUCUCCCUCUCCCCAUCCCUCUACCUGUUUCGGUUUGCUCUGGUAUAGUACGUUAUAGACCUAUACCAUACCGAACCAAGUCACUAGCCGAUACGAGCCCCAAUACUGGUCUAAUAGACCUUGCCUGUACCUGAAUAUGCUCUUGCAUGACAUUGGCAAGAUAGAAUCUCAUGCUUAGCUUUUGAUGUUGAAGGCUAGGUUUGAGCCUAACCCAAUCUUUCAUAAGUGUUAACCUACUACUAGACCCUAAAAACUUAAGCUAUUAGGGAAGGGGUCAGCAACGUGUAUCAUGCCUUAAUACCCUCCUCACAUGUGGCUUGGGCCAUGCAUGCAACUAGGAAUGACACAAUAUGAUGAGUCAAGUAUGAUUCAAAUAACAACUAGGGAACAAGUCAAGCGUAGAAAGACUCGAGAUAAUAAAGGACCAUGCAUGUGAACACAUAAACGAGUCAAGAAUGACUCAAUACCAUGCAUGUGAACACAUAAACAAGUCAAGAAUGACUCAAGAUAGUGAGUCAAGUAUGACUCAAAUAACAACAAUGAACAAAUCAGGUGAAGAAAGACUAAAGAUAAUAAAUGGGUGAUAUAGAGAAAAAUUGACUGGACUCAAAAGCUUAAGCUGUUUGGGAAGGGAUCAACAAUAUAUAUCAUGCUCCAACAAUAGGCAUAACAUGCCUAAGUCCAGACUACUAUGAAGUUUGCCAAGUAACAUAUAGUACCACAAUCGUCAAAAGUUAUUUGAUCUGGUGAACUAAUAAAUUUCAGUGAGAAGCAUCAACAACCUUAUCUUGUAUUCUUCUUAGAAUUUUCACUUGUUCACCAGGUGACCUGUUCAGGUAUACAUUCUUUUUAACAUUGUGCUAAGCAUGUCUGUUAUCAAUGCAAGCUGUGGUGUUAUAGCUGACAUGGUUGUUAAUGCUGAGAGAUGUCACAGUAUUCGGUAUUCUUACAUACCUUUUGGGCUUACUUUUGAUACAUGUAAUAAAUCUUGUUUAUGAUUUUAAAGCCUUGUUUAUCAUAGCUCUAAAAAUAUAUAAUUAACUAUGUUGGCUACAAUAAUUUUGGUUUAGAGAAAUGUUGAGUGCUGAAGAAUGCAUUAUUUCUUGUUUCUAAUUCAGAAGGUAACUUUCUAUUCUUUAUUUCUAUUUACUUGUUUAACCUUCAGGUAAUUAUCUGUCUUUUGAGCUGUUUAUUAAUUGCAAUAUUUACCAACUUAAACUGGAGCUACUUGCUUUAAAUUUUCAUUAUGAACUCUUAAGUUGCCGCAGAAUGGGCCAUUGCAGGUUGAUAGGUUAGACUUCAGCGGUCAUUGUCUAAUUCAAUCUAAUGUGAGUAUCUUCCACCUUUAUUUUGUCCUUCUCUUUUCCCACGCAACGUCAAUUCUUUGCUUAUAAUGACCUCCCCUCCCCCCGUGGAGUGGCUUAUAAAGAAAUUUGAUCUCAUAAUAUGGUUUGUCUUUCAUUAGUUUAUUGCAAUCUAUGCACAUCUGUGCAACAUUGGACCUAUGGUGUACUUUUGAUUCUCAACAGUGCCAUUAAAAGCAAAUUUUAAUAGCAUCGUGAUUAAAUAGUAGGUAAACACUUGUGUUGGCAUUGAAGGAAACAUUAUCUUCUUUUGUCUUCUAUUUAUUUGUUUCAAUUUCAUGUUAAAUUUCAAUCCUUUUGGGUAAAGUUGUGUACUAAUAUCCUAUACAGGUUAUUAAGAAUUGUGCUUAAGCUAUGUUAUAGUCUUUGCACUGUACAAAUUAAAGCAAACCAAUAAUUACAAAUUGUAAGAGAUCAUGGAUAAUCAGAACCUUGUGUAAACUGCAAGGACAAGAGAGAUAUACAUGCUGUUCAAAUAAAAUGUUUGGGGUUUUCAACAUAUAACACAACUCUUUUAAAAUUAAUUAGACGUAAAGAUCCCUUUUUAUUUGCUAAUUAAUAUCUUCUUUACCCGAGAAAAUCCGAAAUAGCUCAUUGUAUCCCUGGUUAAGACCCAUGUCUCACCCAUCUUUAACUCCUAGGGUUUUAGAUUUAGUGGGUAGGGUCAUAACAUUUGGUGUCAAAGCAGGCUCCAUGUGGCUGUGUUUUGAAAAAAAUAAAAAAUGAUUUAGAGUGAGAGCUGUCUGUGGAAAGGGCUCUCUACUGACCAAAGUGCAGCUGCCAUAUAUAAAGGCUGCUUGAUUGUCCUAGAGUGAAAGUAGUCGCAUGAAAAGGGCUACCUAGAUCAAAGUGAGAACUGCCACAAGAGUGGGAAGUUGAGGACAGUGUCUAUGGAGCAUGUUGGUCUAAUGACUAUUGUGUAUGUGGUUAAAAUCCAGGCCUAGUGUAUCUCUAACACUUAGUUACUUUUGGUUAGUGGUUAAGGUCAUAGCAUAGGUCCUCUCCCUUGAGCUUUGGAGACUGGCCUUAAUACAAGGUAAUGUAGAACUAAACCCAUGAUCUAGUUGAGAUCAACAUCAAGAGCUUGACCUCAAUGACUAUGCCCUUGAGGAGCUCGAACCCAAUGAGAGUGGUGGCAAUGAGCUAAAGCCUUCCCCUAGCCAUCACAUACCAGAAAUAGCCCUGACUAAUGUUGUUUUUUUUUGACAUAUGUUCUGGUAUAGGAUCAUCUAAUAAGAGGAACCAAUUAUUCCAGUCUAAGACCAAUCAACUGCUUGUUCAACUUCUAGUCUUGGAUCAUUGAGGGGUGUUUAUCCCAUACAAGGUUUGGUCUUGAAAGGUCAUACAUGACAUUUUUACAUAUUUAGUGAGAAAGAAAUGGAGAAAGUUAAGAGAAUAGAGGGAAAAUGAGAAUUACAGGGAACUUGAAUAUGCAAGUGAGGGUUAUAAUUUCUGUUAUAUAUUAUUGAUGUAUUGCAUAGUACAUGUUAUACAUUCAUAUAUUUUGUGUAGGCUCUCAUAUAUAUGCUAUUUAAUGCAAUUUCUGAAUGUGAUAUAAUGUUUUAAGUUUUCCUAUUUUCCAAGAGAAAGGGAGGGAAGACCCAUCCAACAUAAAUUACCCAGACAUGAACAUUGUGGGUGCACUGCCUGAAAUUUGAACCCAAAACCUCCUUGAAGGAGGGGUGUGACCAUUGGGGUAUUGCCCGAUUCACAAUGAAGAUAUGCUACGGAAUGCAAAAAAUGUAGAUUUAUUGCUUCUUUUCAGAAGAAAAACUAAAGGGACUAGAAUGUGAUUCAUAUAUUUCAGCAUACACUCAUCUGACAAUGGUGGCUCCAUGCAUGUAAAGUAUUGCUUGUGCUUAGUUUAUACUAUGUUUUAUGAUAGUUAACACAAUUUCAAAUUUGAGUUAUGUAAUUUCUCAAAAUUGAUAAUGUAAUCACACUUAAAGUGAUCAAUCAUGAAAUUAAAUUGGUUAUUGCAUAAUAUAAUAACAAUCAUAAUAUUAAAAAUAUAUAUUAUUUCCAUCAGUUUAUUGUGGUGUUGAUGCUAAAAUUUGUGGUUUGUACAAUUCGAAUGAGACUACAUAUAUGUAUGUACAUGAAAGGUACUUCCAUUGAAGAAAAAUAUUAAAUGGAUCAGUGAGGGGUAAUAUGAGACAAAUUCUAUUUUAUGAUAAUAAAAAAACACUCUGAUUCUUUUUUCUUUUUAAAAUCUUUGGCUUUAUAUGGACCCCAUAACUUAAUGAUGGAAAAAAGACACCUUCAUGGAGCAUGUGUUAACAUGAAAAAAUUAAGCAAGUUAAAAAUGGCAAAUUGUGGUCUUUGGCUUGAAAUCUUUGCCAAAUCGUAUUCAUGCCCAUGAAUGGUGGGUUGAAUAGAUCUUUGGAUAAUCUUUUGGGCACUAAAAGACAUGGGUUGAGCCUUAAAAACAUUGUCAUCAGUUUUGGAUGCAUGACUGUAUCGAGCUGGCCCCUGGUUGAGUCACAUGCUUGGCCUAGCCUAUUUGAAUAAUGUAGCAGUGCUAUCUGGAAAAUUUUAAAAACAUAAAGAAAGUAAAUAAAUAAAUAUUUGAUUAGGUUUUCCAUCAUUGUUCAUGAUCUUGUUCUUUUGACAAUGAAGAAAAAGGUCUGAAAUUUGAUCCUGAAUGUCUCUCUUUGUGGAUGAAACAGGUUUCAGAAAUUAGCUUUUUGGAUUUUGCCUUAACAAUUUGCACUUUGGCAAAUUGCAUUGUUUAUAAAUACCAUAUUGUGGAGAGCAAUCUGCUUGUGCAUGUGCAGGAUAUAAAGGAUGGGAACAUGAAGUAGAUCUUGGUUUUUUUUUAAGUGGAAGAAUGGGAGGGAGAACCACCUGCACUGCAAUUACUGAGGUCCAAAGUUUUUUGGGAUGCACCACCCAAGAAUUGAAUUCAGAACCUCUGGCUACUAAGCAGAAUGGUGUGACCACUAAGGAAUUUAUCUAGUUUCUUCAGUUAUUAGAGCUUACAUGAUAAAAACAUAUAGUUUAAGACUUUAAGGUUUUGCAAUAACGAACAUUUCUGGCACAUUAAAGCUUGAUGGGCCCAGAUGUCAAUUACGUGGACUAAACACUAAAACGUUUUAAGGUUUUGUGCCAAUGACACGACAUACUCCAGAAAUGCAAAAACGGAUAUGUCCAGUUAAUGCUGGGUAAAAUAUUCAGCAUAGCAGCAGUGGUAGUAUAUCAUGCCGUUACCUCAGUCAUUUUUCUUCUGAAUAUUGUCAUCUGUGGUUAUGGAAGAAAAAUUAUCUACAUAUUCUUCUAUAAGGAUACAAAUGACUCAUCUAAUUCAUUAUAUGAUGGGGGGCAAAAUGGAUCGUCCUACUUAGGACAAGGGAUCAUCCCACUCCAGCCGGGUAGGCUUCAGCACCGACCAGGCUAGACCUCGAUCCUGCUAAGAGCCAGUUCGAUCUUGAACUUCGCUGAAGGCUCAGCCGACCUCGGGCGGAUCUCUCCGUUGCUACGACCUACAACGACCUCUUCUGAUGCUUAUAAUGACGUUCCGAGCCCAAGCUCGGGGCACCCUGCUGCGUCGACUGCGAGCCAAAGAGCUGCUUCGACUGCAGGACUAUACGACGACGCUCCCCGGUCGAGCUCGGAGCGCCCCUAUAUUCACCGAUGUGCCCCGACCGAGCUUGGGGCGUCCUUAUAUUCGCCGACACGCCCUGGCCGAGCUCGGGGCGCCUUUAUAUUCACCGACACGCCUCGACCCGAGCUCGGGGCACCCUAUCGUGCAGACCUCAGAAUCGGGGAGGCUAGGCCGACCUCAGCACCCGCCAAGCCGACCUCACUAAACAUACAUCGCGGCCUCUGAGCGAGCCCGACCUUAACGCCCACUAGGGUGACCUAGCCGAGUAUAUGAUGUGACCUCUCAUCGAGUUCGACCUCGCCCACGUCCGCAUCCACGUGCGCGCCCACGCACGCACCUACAUCCGCAUACGUAGCCGUACAUUACAACUUCACCGCACUAUGCUUUGCUUGCUAACCAAUGACAACUAAGGAUGACGCCAUGCUGCCCCUGUCCCAGCCAUAUCCUGCCACAUCUACCAAUGUCUUACCGUUCACAAGAACGGCCUACGUCGUGCGCCUCAAGCAAGCUCUAGCUGCGCGCUAUCUGGCUAAAAGCUAUCUCCUCCCAUGACGAGGAUGGGCCAUACCUCCGCCACUUGGGCCCUCUACGGGGACUAUAAAUAGCCUAAUUGAUAACGCCUAAAGGACUUUUGGCCGGACCAACUAAGAUCCACUCUAACUUGAGCGUCGGAGGGCCCUCACCGGAACCACUGGUGAGGCUUUGUGCAGGUACGCUGUCGCACGGGAGGUGGCUUUCCUUUCUCCGCUCCGGUCGGCAGCUCCCUUGACUCCCCCGGCAUGGUCAUGCUUGGGUCAAAUUUGAACCACAACAUCUGGCGCUAUAGAAAAGGCCUGAGUUGUGAUCAUGAGGUUAAGGAGUCACGGAGCUCCAAAUGCAUCGAGCAGCCGGGUACCAACACCCGACAACUCGCUUCAAAGUCCACCCCCUGCAGCACUUGCAUUGGCGGACCGGAUUCUUCAGGUCCAGCCAGAGCAGCUUGAUCUGCUUUUUUAGCAGGUCCAAACACUUACUGCGGCCGUCUAAGGCCUGCAGCAGGGCGGAGUCCAAUCUGCACCCCUUCUUUGCGGACGUGAGUCCAUCAGACUUCACCCGCGACGUCGUUCUCCUGGCAGGCAGCGCACGAUGGACGAUGAAAGGAAACCUCGCCACUAUCGAAGCUCCCAUCGAGCUCGAUCCCCAAGCUAGGAGGGCUUGUCGCAUGGCCAUCGCCCUGAGAGCCUAUGCCGAAGCUCGAUGCCCCGAUCACGGGAGCAACCAUCAGAGGAGGGAUCCGCCCCGUGCCGGACCGCCUGUAGCGUCGACCAAGAGCCGGAGAGGCUCCAUCGACCACAGACAACGACACCCCCACCUAAGCUCGACAGAAAAGUCGAGAAUUUGGAGCGACAGAUCCAAACGCUUCAAGACCAAGCUCCGAAGUGCGACGCCGACCUCAACUUCACAACCGAGUCUUCAUUUCCUCGGCGGGUCGCUGAUGAGCCGAUCCCCCAGAGGUUCAAGAUGCCGUAAAUAGAGCCAUAUGAUGGCUCGUCUAAUCCUCUGGAUCAUCUGGAGAGCUACAAGGCCCUUAUGACACUCCAAAGGGCUACAAACACCUUACUUUGUAGGGCCUUUCCAGCAACUCUCCGCAAGGCAGCUCGCCUUUGGUUCUCCGGGUUAAAGCCCAGCUCGAUUUUUUCCUUCGAACAGCUGGGCAGGCAGCUCGCCACCCAUUUUGCUGCCAGCCGACGUCAGCGCCGGACCUCAGACUCCCUUUUUGCCAUCAAGCAGGAGGGAGAAUUCCUGAAAGACUACAUUGAUCGCUUUACCUCGGCUACAUAGGAGAUUUGCGAUCUCGACCAGUCUAUCGCCAUAUCGGCGUUGAAGACUGGAGCUCGGUCCCACAAGUUUCUCUUCUUCAUCGAGAAAAGGUUUUCCGCCGACUUUCCAGAAAUGUUGGCCCGAGCUCGGAAGUUCGCCAAGGCUGAGGAACCCCUGGCCUUUUGGCGCGAAGCGGCCGAGCGGCCUGCUAAGAUGCAGAAAAAGCACCACGGGGAGCACUCCUGACCAAGGAGCAGAUCCCCCAAGUGUGAGAAAAAUCCUUCUCGGCCUAAGAGCCCGGUUUGCCCGAGGUCUCCUCUCCAAAAGCUCGGUAAAUAUACUCUCCUUCAGAAGUUUGGAAAGUACACUCCCUUCACAUCCAACUGAGCUGAGAUUCUCAUGGAGAUCGAGGGUUGGGGCUACCUUCGGCCCCCGCCAAGGAUGCGACCGUCCGUGCCGCGGAAGCGCUCGGACUAAUACUGCCGCUUCCACAAAGACCAUGGCCAUGAUACGGAGGACUGCUAUCAGCUCCAUGAUGAGAUUGAGGCACUCAUCCGCCGGGGUCGGUUGAGUCAGUUUAUUUGAGGCUGAUCUGAAAAGAGGGCGCCCGAGGAACAGGAUCUCGAGCCGCUCGAGGAGCAAAACAACAACUGACCUGUUGCAGGCAUUAUCCAUACCAUCGGAGGAGGGCAACUAGAGACUCCUAGGGUGUCGAGCCGGAGAGAAGAGAGCUUCUUCAAAAUGUCCGCGCACUGUGGAAGUCAUCUCUUUCUCUGAUGAAGAUCUGAAGGGUGUUGAGACCCCCUAUGAUGACGAUGUAGUUAUUUUCCUCAUCAUUGCAAACUUUGAUGUAAAAAAAGUUUUGGUGGAUAAUGGAAGUUCUGCAGACGUCUUGUUUUAUGAUGCCUUCCAAAGGAUGGAAAUGACUGUAGAGUAACUUGAAAGAAUGAGCACUCCUGGUCGGGUUCACAGGAUAUUCUGUACCUGUCGAAGGGGUCGUCAGCCUACCAGUCACGGCCGGGAGUGCCCCCCGAGAAAACACUGUGAAGCUAAACUUUCUCAUGGUCAGGGUCGCCUCGGCCUACAACGCCAUCCUCGGCAGACCAGGGUUGAACGUCCUCUGAGCUGUGGUGUCUACCUACCACUUGCUCCUGCGGUUCCCCACAAGUCGAGAAGUUGGCAAAGUCCAAGAAGAUCAGGCAGCAGCCAAGCAGUGCUAUAUGACUGCACUCAAAGAUAAGCAGCCGGCCGAGCUUCCGGCUUAAGCACUGCCCAUUGAAGGGUUAAAAGUGCGGGAUGAUCUAAGAUAGCAACGAGGUGAGCCCGGCGAACGCCUCCUCCACAUCCCCUUAAGGGACGACCGACCCGAGCAGACUGUGCAGAUCGGGUCUGGCCUGGGCCCAGAGACGCGAGCUCAUGUGAUCGAGUUCCUUCGGGCCAAUGCCGACAUGUUCACCUGGUUGCCUGCUGACAUGCCUGGGAUAGACCCUGAGGUGAUGAUCCACUAGCUCAAGGUGCACCCGACCCACAAGCCGGUCAGGCAGAAGAAGCGGAAUCUCGCAACAGACCGGUAGCAGACGGUGGCCGAAGAGGUUAAUAAUCUCCUCAAGGUUGGCUUCAUCAAGGAGGUCACUUACCCCGAUUGGCUCGCCAACAUUGUUCUUGUAAAAAAAGCCAACGGAAAAUGGCGCAUGUGCGUGGACUAUACCGACCUAAACAAAACCUGCCCAAAAGACAGUUUUUCUCUUUCGAGGAUUGACCAGCUCGUCGAUGCCACCUCCGGACAUCAACUUUUAACCUUCAUGGAUGCCUUUUUCAGAUACAAUUAGAUACGGAUGGCACCAGAAGACGAGGAGAAAAUUGCCUUCAUCACUGACAAGGGCCUUCAUUGCUAUAAGGUUAUGCCUUUCGGACUGAAGAAUGCCGGAGCAACCUAUCAGCGGCUUGUCAACAAGAUCUUCAAGGAUUAGAUCGGGCGAAAUAUGGAGGUCUACGUCGACGACAUGCUAGUGAAAAGCCAGGCGGCCGAUCACCAUAUCGCCGACCUGGAUGAGGCAUUCUCCACCCUCCGGAGGUAUCAAAUGAAGCUCAAUCCCACAAAGUGCGCCUUCGGAAUCACUUCAGAAAAUUUUUUUGGCUUCGUGGUGACGCAACGGAGAAUUGAAGUGAGCCCCGAGAAGAUCCGGGCACUACAAGAAAUGACACCGCCAAAGAUGGUCAAAGAGGUGCGACGGCUCGCUGGUCGGAUAACUGCCCUUAACUGCCCUUGGAAGAUUCGUCUUCCGAUCAGCUGAACGGUGCCUUCCCUUCUUCAAGAUCCCCAAGAAGCCAAAGGACUUUGUAUGGUCCGAGGAGUGCCAGCAGGCCUUUGAAGAGCUUGGACGCUACCUCGCCACUCCUUCUCUGCUUACAAAGCCCCAGUGUGGGGAAGUUCUCUACCUGUAUCUUGCGGUCUCCCCAACCGCAGUGAGCUCGGUACUAGUCUGAAAAGAAGAUAAAUGUCAGAAGCCCAUAUUCUACACCAGCCGAAUUUUGCGGGAUACGGAGAUCAGAUAUUUCAAGUUAGAGAAAACAGUCUAUGCACUCGUCACCUCGGCCCGUAGGCUUCGACUCUAUUUUCAGGCGCACACCAUAGCAGUGCUGAUUGACCAGCCUAUAAGGCAAAUUUUGCAGCGGUCUGAUCGAGCUGGAAGGAUUGCAAAAUGGGCAGUCGAGCUCGGAGAAUUUGAUCUCGGGUACCUUCCUAGACCGGCGAUCAAAGCCCAAGUGCUUGCUGACUUUUUGGUGGAGUCCACCUUACCGAACGACCCUCAAAUCGAGCUCAACCGAAAAGAAAAAGAUGCUUCCGAACAGCCAUGGAUCCUACAUGUCGACGACUCUUUGACCUCGGGGGGCAGCGACGCAGGCUUCAUCCUUGCCAGCCCGGAUGGAGUGGUUGCAGAGCAAGCCUUGCGCUUUGAGUUCUCUGCUUCCAACAACGAGGCGGAAUACGAAGCUCUGAUCGCCGGGCUGAAAUUGGCCAAGGAACUCAAAGUCCUCGGCCUGAAAGUCUUGAGCGACUUCCAGCUCAUGGUGAGCCAAGUUCUGGGAGAUUUCGAACCUCGGAAGCCAUCAAUGAUAAAAUACCUCCAAAAUAUACGGGACAUCACAUAAACUCUAAGCAACUUCUACAUUCAGCAUAUCCCCAGAUCGGAGAAUGCAAGAGCCGAUCUGCUGUCGAAGCUAGCGACGUCCAGCUUGGCCGAGCUCCCAAAGAGCACCUUCCCUGAGUGCUUGAAGGCACCAAGCACAGAAGGCCCUGAGCCGGUACUGUGUACAGAAACCAAGCCGAGCUGGAUGGACCCUCUGACAGACUUUCUACAAUACAGAGUCCUCCUCGUGGACAAGCUUGAAGCCUGAUGACUUGAACGUCACUCGACUCGUUACAUCAUGUACGAGGGCAAGCUGUACCACCGGUCAUUCACGUCGCCACUUCUCAGAUGUCUCCGCCCCUUAGAGGCGGACUAUGCAAUGUGGGAGGUAUAUGAGGGAACAUGCGGAAGUCAUCAGAGAGGCCGAGCUUUGUCGUACAAGAUUCUGCGGCAAGGAUACUACUGGCCCACAAUGCUAAAGGACACGGUGGAGUUCGUCCGAAGGUGCGAUCGAUGCCAAUGCCAUGCCAAUGUCCAACGCAGACCUUCGGCACUAUUGACGCCAAUCAGUGCCCCCGGCCUUUUGCCCAAUGGGGAAUCGAUAUAUUGGGGCCUUUUCCUCCAACUACAGGAUAACGAAAAUUUCUUAUUGUCGCCGUCGACUACUUCACGAAGUGGGUCGAGGCAGAACCUAUAGCCCAAAUCACCGAACCAAAAGUGCAGAGCUUCGUCUGGAGAAUGAUAAUCUGCCGGUUUGGGCUUUCUCGAGUCAUCAUAUCCGACAACGGCCGCCAAUUUGACAAUGCUCGGUUCAAGGAGUUCUGCUCCGAGCUCGGCAUCAACCAUCGCUUCACAUCGGUGGCUCACCCCCAAACCAAUGGGAAAGCAGAAGUGACUAACCAAAUCAUCUUACAGGGGCUCAAAGCCAGACUGGACUGAGCAAAGGGGCAAUGGGCCGACAAUCUCUAUAAUGUUCUCUAGGCAUACUGGACGAUCUUCCGAGUUUCCACCGGAGAGAUCCCUUUCAACCUAUCCUGUGGCAUAGAGGCGGUCAUCCCCCUUAAGGUCGGGUUACCCUCGCCCCAGGUUGAAAGCUUUGAUGCUACAACCAACUUGGUACGACUCCGGAGUAACAUGGACCUACUUGAAGAAACAAGAAAAGCAGCUCAGAUUCGAAUGGCGAAAUGCCAGCAAAAAGCGGCACAAUACUACAACUCCAGAUUCAAAGUUAAAUCAUUCAAGGUCGGCGACCUCGUCCUGAGGGAGGCUGAAGCCUUCUGACCUUUGGAGCAGGAAAAACUCACCCCGAACUGGAAAGAACCAUACCGAGUCGUCCGAAUCUAGCGGUCGGAAGCUUACAAGCUGGAAUCUCUGGACAGUAAUUUAGUCCUUCGAAGCUGAAAUUCUCAUAUUAUCAAUGAAAACAACUUCCAAGAACUCCUGCGAAAUAUCUUUGAAAUGCCUCGACUGGUUCGACAUGCUUUGGCCACCUUCAUGGCGUGAGUCUGCAACUACAAUAUAACGACGUCUCGGGCCCGACCUCGGGGUGUCCUGCAGGAUCGACCAAGAGGCGAAGAGGCUCCGUCGACUGCAGGUACAAGAACGCUCCUGAUCUGAGUGGGGGCACCCUGCGGCGUCAACAGAAAGCCGUUGAAGAGCUUUCCUGACCACAACAAUCUACAAGCACUCCUCUGGUUUGAGUGGGCGGCGCCCUGCGGCAUCAACGGAGAGCUGUUGAAGAGCUCCCCCGACCACAGUAAUCUACAACUACGCCUCUGAUCUGAGUGGGAGGCUCCCUGCGGCGUCAACUGGGAGCCGUUGAAGAGCACCCACAACCGCAACGGUCUAUAAUGAUGUCCUAAGCUCGACCUUAGGGCGUCCUGCAGGAUCGACCAAGAGCUGAAGAGGCCCCGUCGACCGCAUGUAUAAGCAUGCCCUUGAUCUGAGUGGGGGGCGCCCUGCGGCGUCAACGGAGAGCUGCUGAAGGGCUCCCCCGACUGCAGUAAUCUACAAGCAUGCCCUUGAUCUGAGUGGAGGCACCCUGCGGCGUCAACUGAGAGCCGUUGAAGAGCACCCACGACUGCAGCGAUCUAUAAUGACGUCCCGGGCUCGACCUCGGGGCGCUCUGCAGAAUUGACCAAGAGCUGAAGAGGCCCCGUCGAUCGCAGGUAGAAGCACGCCCUUGAUCUGAGUGGGGGGCGCCCUGCGGCGUCAAUGUGGAGCCGCUGAAGAGCUCCUCCGACCGCAGUAAUCUACGAGUACACCCCUGAUCUGAGUGGGGGAUGCCCUGCGGCAUCAACUGAGAGCUGUUGAAGAGCCCCCACGACCGCAGCAACCUAUAAGGACGCUCCUAAUUUGAACCCCCCCCCCCCCCGCCGCCGCAGAGUCGACUAAGAGCCGAAGAGGACCCGUCGACCAUUUGCAAGAAAGGACGCCCCGAUUGAGCUCGGAGCGCACUGAGGAGUUGACCGUGAGCCAAUGAGACUCCCUCGACCUCAAGAAAAGUUUGAGGGCGACCCGACCUUGGUUCGAGCGCCCAAGUAAGGCCUACAGAAAUCUACAAGGCCGAAGAGCGUCAAAGCUCACAACGGCCUUCUAUCUAAAAGAUGCCCUAGCAAACUACAGUACGAAAGCUAAAGCAGGGCUUCAAACUCAAUUUUUAGAUAGGAGCUUGAAGCUGACCUGAUGCCCGAUCUGGGCGCCUGAAGUGCGCCAACAGACGAGCUCAAGAGUAGCAGACUCCAUCGACUUUCUAAGACUAGGAGGUGAAUGCCGAGUACAAGGACUUCGGCAAAAAUUCAACAUAGAUCCUGUUAUGUGAAAGCUAGGCCAUGACCUAAGCUAUGCAGUUUGGAUCUCGCUAGCCGGAUAUAAAGCAGGACGAGCUCAAAUGUCUAGUCAGACUUCAAAGACAAAGCAAAAUGAGCUGAAAGACUUGGCCAAAUCUUAAAGGUACAAAAUGCUGAAAAGAUAUACUUUAUUGAUAUUAAAAGGCCAAAGGCUAAGUACAAAAAGAAUCGACCUUGAGGUCGGAUUGAAUAUCAAAAAGUCUGAGCGGCCGACCUUACAAGAAUGAAAUAGAAGGAAAAUGAAUACAAGCAAAACUCAGGUGGCCUCGGCGGUCUCGGUCCUGACCUCAGGAACGGCCUCGAUUCCGGUGGCGACCUCAGGGACGGUCUCGGGCCCGACCUCAGGGACGGUCUCGGGCCCGACCUCGGGAAUGGCCUCGGUUUCAGCGACGACCUCAGGGACGGUUUCCGACCUGACCCCAGUAGCGGCCUCAGAAGUAUCUUCGCCCACUAGGUCGGUGAUGAGCUCACGUGCUUCAGCAAGCUCCUUCAUCUCGGCUGCGAUCGCCACUUCGUCAGCUCCACACAGAUCCGGGAGGCCGCUGAGGUCGACCCCGGGACAGAGCCAUUGGGCCUGAUCACGACAGUUCUCAAAGCCUUGGAUCAUGGCGUCGGUAGCCCCCUCCGCCAUCUCCUCAAAAUUUUCCUUGGAUUGGUGAAGUUCUUGAUCGCCUCCCGAGUCUGCUCCUCGGACCAUCUCCCAAGCCGCUCGGCCUUCAACUUCAAAUGUUCGGCCUCGUACUUCUGGCUAGUCACCACGACCUCAAGAUUGGAGAUGCGGCCCUCAGCAGCCGAACGAGCUCGAGCGUUCUCGAGCAGCUCGACCUCCAUCUUCCGGAUUUGGGCGAGACCGACUUCGACCAGACCCUCGGCCGCCCUCCUCUUUUCCUCGGCCUCAUGCCACCACUGCUCGACAGCCGUCACCUUCUGCUGCCGCUGCUCAGCAGCCGCAGCUCGGACCUCGGCUUCCUUCCCCCGCCGCUCCGCGGCCUCCACCUUCGACCGAAGCGCCCUUACCCGGUUCCGAAAGUUGGAUGCAGCGUCUGCCAACAUGUCGAUUAGGUGGAGGAACUGGCACAAGAAAUAAAAGAUUAGCAGAGGUCAAGCACGUGGAAGGAAAUGAUGAAAUGAAUGAGCAGGAGCAGCAUCUCUCACCAUAAUGCUAGUGGAGUAGGCUUUAUCGACAGCCUCUUCGAAUCCCAACUGCUCCAAUCGAUCUCGAUCGCCCGGAAGCAUAAUACUGCGGACGAGCUUGCGGGCGACCUCGGCAGACUCAAGGGCCAUAUCAUCCUCGAAUACCCGACACUCGGGCUGGAACGACCUCCCGGGUUUGGAGGGAGCAGGAUUGGUCCCCGAAGAGGUUAGGACCUCAGAAGAGGAUGGGCCCCCGGGCUUGCUCCCUGGCUUGGGGCCCGACCGGCGCCGCCGAACGACUUUGUGGGCCUUCUGAGCUCCACCAGUAGGCGCUACAAUCGCUUGAACAUUUGUACCCCCUCCUGCGGUCGAUGGGGGCAAGUCGGCCUCGGCCGGAAGGGCCUGCUCGGCCUCAGGUCGAGCAGGUUCAAUGACCACAAUUUCGGCGGGCUCGCCUCGCUUGGUGCCAGAACUGGUGGCGAUCCUCGGCUUCUUCAACUUCCCUUCUAGCCGAGCUCCCUCCGAAGCGGCCGACCUCUUAUGGUAUUUGGCCAUCAGGGUCUCGGCAUCGAAAAUCAUUUUUGUAAUUUCUGACAACAGGAGACUUAGUCAAAAUCCAGCAUAAAAAAGAAAAGAAAAGAAAAGAAAAACGGCACCGCCCUUACCCUCAGGAUGAGCCGAGCUCAGGCCCACACUCAACAAAGCUUCCUCGCCAAGUAGAUCAGGAAGCUUCAAAGUCUCUCCAAGACCGAGCAGCUUGUCUAAAGUCUCCUGCUCGCACCGCGACAGCUUGGGGAGCUUAUUAUUUACCGAGGCCCGCAGCGAACCCCAGGUCGGGUCGAACCUCCAUGAUCGCCCGGAGGAAAGAAAGAAGAACUUCUCCUUCCAUCCAUGAAUGGAGGAAGGAACGCCUCGGAAGAGUACGCGGCCUUCCCGAGGAGAAAAGUACCACCACCUUUUAUCUGCGGAGCAAGCUUUCAAUACGAAGCAGCUCCGAAAGACAUUCACCGAGGUGGGGAGUCUGUGGGCAAGACACAAGGCGAGGAACCCAAUAAUCAUUCUCCACGAGUUCGGAGCAAACUGCGUAGGGACUAGGCGAUAAGUCGCUUGAAGCUCGCUUACAAACCCGCGAAGGGGCAAGCUUAGCCCAGCUCGGAAUGUCUCUAUGUACACCCCAAUCCGACCUCUUAGGGGAUCGGUGACCUGAGCAUCGGGCCCCGAAAGUUCAAGGAUGAACUCACAGGGGAAGAAGAACUGAGCCCGAACCAGGCUCAGCUCCUCUUCACUUACGCUCGAGCCGAUCCCGCUGGGACCGUGAUCCACCUUGAGCUCGACCUCCUCCACACUUGAAGAAGCCCGGGCUUGGGAUGAACCUGUGCCAAGCACAAAGGCUGUGGGCGACCCCAUUGCCUUGCUCACAGAUUCAAAAAAGAAAAAAAAGAUAGACAGUUCUCCGAGCGACCGAAAUGGGAUAAAGUACCUACCCAAGGGUUCGCCGAAGAAGAUAACUGAGAAAAGGAGGACCGCUGAAAAUCGAGAGCAAAGCUCGUCGCGAAGGUCGCCGGGAAGCUCCGGAAACACUCAAGGAGAAGCUCGAACACAGCAAUAAUAACGGUCAGGAAGAAGAGUGGAGACAAGAGAGAUCAAAUAAGGACCCUAGGGUCCCUCCAAGGCCUUAUAUAGCCUACUCCAAUGGCUCUGAUCGGCUAACCUAAGCGAUCAAGCAGCUGGAUCUCACUGCGUGGCAGGCCCAAAAGCUCCCUCAGCAAAUCUUCCAGAAUCGUGGUACUAAAAGCCGAUCAUCAUGAAGGACACUUCGGAGAACGGGGCAUUAACGACUGGCCCCUCGUAUUCCAUCAGGCAACGCUCUUUGGAAGACGGGUCAUUAAUGAUUGACCCCUUUGCAUUCCAUCCAGCGAUGCCUCGGAAAGAAGCGCGCACGCAGCACAUUAAAGAGCUCCCAUGGCCGUUUUCGCUUGGAGUAACGUGGCAAAUUAAGCCACCCAAGCUCGGCUCAAGAAGCUCGGCUUGAAGCCAUCAGCCCCAAUAAUACACCAAAUGUACCCUGCUUGAUGCGCGCAUCUUCAUGAGCACUUGGCCACGAUGCAGGACGACCAACAAGUUAACUACUUUCUUCAUCCGAGCCAAAGAGCGACUCGACCUCGAAAGUCGGAGGGAUGAUGGGGGGCAAAAUGGAUCAUCCUGCUCAGGACAAGGGAUAUCCCACUCCAGCCGGGCAAGCUUCAGCACCGACCAGGCCAGACCUCGAUCCUGCUAAGAGCCAGUCCGAUCUCGGACUUCGCCGAAGGCUUAGCCGACCUCGGCCAGAUCUUUUCGCUGCUACGACCUACAACAACCUCUUCUGAUGCUUAUAAUGACGUCUCGAGCCCAAACUCGGGGCGCCCUGCUCCGUUGACUGCGAGCCAAAGAACUCCUUCGACCGUAGGACUAUACGACGACGUGCCUCGGUUGAGCUCUGGGUGCUUUAUAUUCGCCGACGUGCCCCGACCGAGCUCGGGGCGCCCUUAUAUUCGCCGACACGCCCCGACCGAGCUCGGGGCGCCCUUAUAUUCGCCGACACGCCCCGACCGAGCUCGGGACACCCUACCGAGCAGACCUCAGAAUCGGAGAGGCUAGACCGACCUCAGCACCCGCCAAGCCGACUUCACUAAACAUACGUUGCGGCUCCCAGCGAGCCCGACCUCAACGCCCACUGGGCUAACCUCGCCGAGUAUAUGAUGUAACCUCUCAUCGAGCUCGACCUCGUCCACGUCCGCAUCCACGUGCGCGCCCACGCACGUGCCCACGCCUGCAUACAUGGCCGUACAUUACAACUUCACCGCGCUAUAUUUUGCUUACUGGCCAACGACAACCAAGGUCGACGCUAUGCUGCCCCUUCUCCAGCCAUACCCUGCCGUAUCUACCAACGCCUUACCAUUCACAAGAAUGGCCUACGUCGUGCACCUCAAGUAAGCUCUAGCUACGCGCCAUCUCCUCCCAUGAUAAGGACGGGCCAUAUCUCCGCCACCUGGGCACCUCUACGGGGACUAUAAAUAUAGCCCCAUCAGGUAACGCCUAAAGGACUUUUGGCUGGACCAACUAAGAUCCACUCUAACUUGAGCGUCGGAGGGCCCUCACCGGAACCACCGGUGAGGCUUUGUGCAGGUACGCUGUCGCACGGAAAGUGGCUCUUCUUUCUCCGCUCCGGCCGGCAGCUCCCUUGACUCCCCCGGCGUGGUCACCCUCGGGCCAAAUUUGAACCACAACAUUAUAUUUUUUUUUUUCUCUUUCUUGUUAUUAUAGAAAAGAAGUUUGUGAUAGUCAUGCUUAUCUUGGAUUGUCAAGUUUACGAAGUUCUAUAAUAAAUUAUCAUGGUUCAUUGUAUUUUAAGUUAUCCACUUAGAGCAUUUUCAAUUCAAAUAUAAAAUUGGAGUGGAACAUCAAUUUCUAACGCUGAAGAACUGUUAUAUUGUUUUGUUGGUAACUCUUAGGUAGCACUAAAUGCCAUUUUUGCUAGAUUCUACUUUUGAUCACUAUUUUGGUCCUUCGUGAUUUGAUCAGAUGUCCAUCAAUCGAGGAUAUUGAUAAGGAUGAGGCUCGGGAAACUCAAGUUUGAAUUUAAUAUUAAAUAAUUGUUAUUGGUGACAGAAAAUGUAUUCUGAACUUGAUUAAAGUUCUCAUUUGACAAUCAUUCAUGGGAGCCUCCUUGAUAUUUUUAAGCAGAUAGGCAAGCAGUGCUGAAUUUUCUGCAUUUAGUUUCAGUGGCUGAGAGUUUCUUUCUGUUCUCAUUGUUUAGUCACAUCCUUGCCUCACAACCCAUGAGUUCUCUUCUAAGCAGGAUUAUGAUUGUCACCCAAUUAUUCUCAAACAGCUGGACAAUUUAAAGGUUAUGGUCCUAUGUUCCUCUCCAAAUCAUGCUGCUUAGGUCACGAUCAUAAGAGAAUUUCAGAAUGAAUCUUAACAAUCAACUUAUUGGUUCUCUCCAAGAAAAGAAAAGGAAGAUUCUUACUAGAAGAUAUGGGGGGCAGGCUCGACUAUGAUACAAUUUUUUGGAUUGAUUACAGCCUACUUGAGCUCAAACAAUCAUUGGCAUGUGGGAAGAUUCUGAAGGAUUUUUUUGGCGUUGGUGAUUGCAUGUCAUAUCCUUGUUCAAUUUGUCAACUAGUUUUACCAAUUUUUUUUUCUCUCUAUGCAGAUUGCUUAAAAUACUUGCACUACCUUUCUUUGGUACUUGUGCACUUGGUCUAUAAUGUUUUAAUGGAUAUCAAUUUAUUUCUUUUUAAUGCAGACAAGUUUCUUUCAGAGUCGAUGUUUCAGCCCCUAAUAAGUGCUUGCGGAGUUGGGACUGCCAGGGUUGUGAUUAGUGCUAAAAUUUGAAGGUGACAACUGACCGGAUAUGUAUUGGUUGUUAUAGAGAAUUUUAAGUUAAACAAUAAUCGGAAAUUAAGACCACAUAAUAGAAAAGUAAAGGGAUAAAAAGCUAAGUCGGUAUAAUACUCAAAUGUAAUUUUGAUUAUAAUGUAGCAAUAUAUUUAGUUUUCUUAUGAAAAGAUUGCCUGGUAACCUGUUAGUAUGGAGUGAAUGGACUAUUACUGUUGUCCUCAUUGUUAGCUCCUUUCCAUGAUUAACUCUGUACCCUACCCCCACCGAGUGAUCUGUUUUUGUUGAUAAUAUUCUGGAAAGGAGGGCAUAUAGAGGUUUAAGAAUAGACCAAUGCCAAAACAUUUUCUUCAUGUAUAGUGAUAGUACUCAAAUGCUGCAUUAUUACAAGCUAGCGGCAGGCAUUUGUACUGCAUUUGUGUGGUUGCAUAGGUGAUGACUACGAUUGCCCGACUGGUUAAAGAUCUUUUCUGUCACUUGAUACAUGUAUUUUUACGUUAUUGGAUGGUUUAUUUCUGUUGUUGCUUCUUCUUAAGAUUGAGAAUGGAACUUAGUAGAGUGUAUUUCUUAAAAAUUAAGAGUUUUUUGAGGAUAGAGGCAUCCAGUAGAUGACAUUUGUAGUCUCUUUUUGCGGUUGACAUGUGAAGCCUUCCUGUUAUAGUUUUACAGAUUCAUGCAUAUUUAUUACAUAAUGCAUGCAAGCUUGUCGGUACACUCCCCCCACCUUGAAUAAUGGCUGUUUAUUGCCACCAAAAAGAAGAAAAAAAUGAAAUGAACAGUGCCUCUUUGUUGGCUACCGAGCCAAGGCAGGAUGAGGUUGACAGGGUAUCGUGCAAGGUAGGCUUGGACAAGAUAUCAUGUGCUGCCAGGAAAACUGCUACAUCUACGAAAAUAUAGAGCACUUGCAUGUGCUGCUCUCUGCAUGCGUCUUGGAUUCUUGAAGGUAGGAGGCAGUCAUGGAGCUGUGGUUGCAUGCUGAGGAUAUAACUUUUUCCAACUGAUAGAUGCCUUUGCUUUACUGAAGUCAUAUCUCAGAAGUCCCAUCAGGAUGUACUGCAAUUUCAACUUGUUGCAUGCAAGAGGCUUGGUGAGGCAUGUGUGACAUGACAUGUCAUUGAUGCUCAUCGAGUUGAAUUUGGAUUCGUGCUGGUGGUCAAGAGUUAUAGAAUCUUAUGUUCAUGAUUCUUUUUACCAGGCCUUCAAGCUUUACCAAACUGGGGGUCGAGGAUUAUAGAAUCUUAUCUUCGUGCAAGGCUUGAGGUACCUUCUAUUAGCCCUUAUAGCUAGAUCUAUUGGCUAUCUGAAAAAUAAGAAUGCUUUGUCACGUCGGUUUUGUACGUAUGCAUGCUGCAUUUGUUUUGAGAAUAAGAAACAAAUAGAAAUAAUAAAAUUAUGCCUGCAGAAAUAGUUAUUCUGUGAGUUAGGCCAAUUUUCAUUUGAUUUUAUUUUUGAAUGGCAGAAGUCAUCUUUUUGGAAUAACUUUUGAAAAGUCAUUAUUUUCAUCAAAAAAGAAAGAAAAAGUAGGCAUAAGAAAAGGUGUCCUCGUUCCAAGGAAUUAACUUAUGAUGGUUCCUCUCCCAUGGGUAUAUCCAUUUCUUGAUUUUGCUUCCUUUAUGAAUGCUGUUUGAUAAGCAUAAAACUUAUUCCAAGUUAUAUUAUCAAAUAAUGCAGUGGUAAAAUUUAUUUGGCUUGGCAACUUUGUAAAAAAUCAUUUUUUAUUUACCUUCUACCAGCCCUUACAGCUCCAGGAACAAAAAUCUUAGGGUAGGCACCAAAGCAACAAAUAUGGAUGAGCUUCCUAUUUUGCCAUAUUUUUCUAGUGCCUAUCUUAAAGCAUAAGCCCAAAAGUCAAAAACUUCAACUAUUAAUGGAGUCUUCGGACCCGUGAUUAAUAUAUAUCUGUGCGUGUGAUCCUCUUUUUUUUUGUUUUCAGAUUAUGCUUUUUACCGGUACACACUACAUAAACAGAUGAUACACAUCCAUCAUCUAGCAAGUUAAUAUACACCUCUAGAUAAAUCGAUACAUAGUUUCCAAAUCAAUACACGGUGCACGAUCAGAUGAUAUAUAUACCUAGUAUAUUAGUUUUCUAACAAUCCAAUAUACACCUCGAAGUAAAUUGAUACAUAGUUUCUAUAAAUCAUGUUCAUCAAUAUACGUUAUAUAAUUAGGUGAUACAUAUUCAUUGACUUUCUAAUACAUACAACAAGCUUCUUCGAUACACACCCAACAGUGAUCUAGUAUAUAUCUCCAAAUAAAUUGAUGGAUAAUUUUUAAAAUACAUUUUUUUGCUAGUAUACACUAUAUAAUCAAGUGAUACACACCAAGCAAUCUAAAUUAUCUGGUAAAUCAAUAUAUAUCUCUACGUAAAUCGAUAUAUAGUUUCUAAAAUAUAGUAUUCAUUAGUACUUGUAUAAAGUGCACAGUUUUUAACUUUGCCGAACAUAAAAAAAUAUAUACAUAUUAUUUCUUAGAUUUUAUGAAUACUUAGGUGCAAAGAUCUUGAAAAAAAGAGAAUGAU